rnacentral:rRNA from 1 species
GAUGAACGCUAGCUACAGGCAUAACACAUGCAAGUCGAGGGGCAGCGCAGUGUAGCAAUACAUGGGCGGCGACCGGCGCACGGGUGCGUAACGCGUAUCCAACCUUCCCGUUACUCAGGGAUAGCCUUCCGAAAGGGAGAUUAAUACCUGAUGGUGUUGAAAUUCCGCAUGUUAUUUCAACUAAAGAUUUAUCGGUAACGGAUGGGGAUGCGUGACAUUAGAUAGUAGGCGGGGUAACGGCCCACCUAGUCUACGAUGUCUAGGGGUUCUGCGAGGAAGGUCCCCCACACUGGAACUGAGACACGGUCCAGACUCCUACGGGAGGCAGCAGUGAGGAAUAUUGGUCAAUGGUCGGAAGACUGAACCAGCCAAGUAGCGUGAAGGAUGAAGGUUCUAUGGAUUGUAAACUUCUUUUAUACGGGAAUAAAACCUCCCACGUGUGGGAGCUUGUAUGUACCGUAUGAAUAAGCAUCGGCUAACUCCGUGCCAGCCGCCGUGUAACAC